AUCAUCGUUGUGUUAACUAGAUGCUAAAGAUACAGAUGUGAACAAGAUCCAUUCUACAUCCUUCAUGGAGUUUUCAUGGAAAUGGAAUGAGCCAUGAGGCCCUGUGGACCCUACUUGCAAUGGGCUAAUGGACUGCAGUGUGGAACACAAGUUAAGCUAGAUGGAUGCUGGAUUGGGCACGGCUCCAAUAUGGAAAGGAAACUCUCAACACAGACUCUGAUUUGAGCCCCACUGAAGCCCCAGCUACACGUCUUCGAUGACUGGACUGAGGGAAAUGAGACUUUGGAAACCCAAGGGUGUAAUUCCACAGAAAUAAAGCUUUCUACUAUAAGA